UUCAUCCCUCCAAACCUCACUUUCCUCCAUCUGCAGAAUGGAAAUAAUGUGGCUGUUUAUUCUGCAGGGUUGUGAUGAAGAUUAAAGAAGAUGAGGUGAAGAAAAUGGGAAAAUGAAGGCAGAGAAAAGAAGAGCUUUAGGAACUUGAAAAAGAAGAGAAAACCAGAAGAAGCUGUUCCCCACAUUGUUUACUUAUGAAGUCUAACAAGCCCGCAGACUAGGAACAGAAGGGGGUCCCAUCCAGUGAUUCAAGAGUUUCCUGUGUUACUCAGUGCUCCUCAAGAGAACGCACUCUUAAUCCCCUUCACCCAUCACUUCCGCUUCCUCGCCCACUUCCGCUCUGGUAACCACCAGUUUGUUCUCUGUAGUUA